UACGUAGGUGGCGAGCGUUGUCCGGAUUUACUGGGCGUAAAGGGAGCGUAGGCGGACUUUUAAGUGAGAUGUGAAAUACCCGGGCUCAACAUGGGUGCUGCAUUUCAAACUGGAAGUCUAGAGUGCAGGAGAGGAGAAUGGAAUUCCUAGUGUAGCGGUGAAAUGCGUAGAGAUUAGGAAGAACACCAGUGGCGAAGGCGAUUCUCUGGACUGUAACUGACGCUGAGGCUCGAAAGCGUGGGGAGCAAACAGGAUUAGAUA
rnacentral:rRNA from 1 species